AGAAAUCUAUGAAAUUUUGACACAAGGUUUAUGACCACAAAAGAACGGUUGGGAUUGAUUUUGGGAGUUUUGGUCUCAACAGUUUAGGAAUUAGGGGCCAAAAAAGGGCCCAAAUAAGCAUUAUUCUUGGUUUUCGCACAAUAACAUUAGUUUAAGUAAAUAGAAAUCAAUGAAAUUUAAACACAAUGUUAAUGACUACAAAAGGAAGGUUGGUAUUGAUUUUGGGAGUUUAGGUCCCAACAGUUUAGGAAUUAGGGGCCAAAAAGGGACCCAAAUAAGCAUUUUUCUUGGUUUUCGCACCAUAACGUUAGUAUAAGUAAAUAGAAAUCUAUGAAAA
rnacentral:lncRNA from 1 species